rnacentral:siRNA from 1 species
CACAAUUCCUCACGCUUACUAAC